rnacentral:rRNA from 1 species
UACGGAGGAUGCAAGCGUUAUCCGGAAUGAUUGGGCGUAAAGCGUCCGCAGGUGGCUAUGUAAGUCUGCUGUUAAAGAGUGGGGCUCAACCUCAUAAGAGCAGUGGAAACUACAUGGCUAGAGUGCGUUCGGGGCAGAGGGAAUUCCUGGUGUAGCGGUGAAAUGCGUAGAGAUCAGGAAGAACACCGGUGGCGAAAGCGCUCUGCUAGGCCGCAACUGACACUGAGGGACGAAAGCUAGGGGAGCGAAUGGG